UUCACUAGUGUCUCUCCUCAGUUUCUGUGCCUUCACCCUCAACAAAGUGUAAUUCCACGGCAGCCUGGACUUUGCUCAGCCUUCGUGUGUAUCACCAUGCCUAUGCACAUACUCCUGAGAAUCCCUUUGUUUAUGGUUGCAAGGAAGAGAAGAUGAUGAAUAGGCAAGUCAGCUUUUGGGGCCAACCUCUGCAGAAUAAGGAUGGAGAAUCAUCUGAAGAUCUCCUUGGUGGCUUUGUGGCUUUAUUUUUAUUGUGGGACUGGCAAAAUCCCAGUGGAGGAGAGUCCUACAUCCCUGGCUGUCCUGGAAGGAAAGAACUUCACUCUUCAAUGUGACUACACUGUGAGCCCCUUUAACAACUUAAGGUGGUACAGACAGGACACAGGGAGAGGUCCUGUUUUGCUGACAGUCAUAAACUCUCCUGAGAACAAAACUUUGAGUGGAAGGUACACAGUGACUCUGGAUGAAAUUGCCAAGCACAAUUCCCUGCACAUCACAGCCUCCCAGCUCAGCGACUCUGCCUCCUACAUCUGUGUGGUGGGUGCACCAUCCUCCCCAGGCACCUGCAGCCAGUACAAAAACCUACCUAGGAAAUUGUCAGCAAGUCAGGAGGUUGAACAGGGGCAUUACUUAUUAUGUUGCAUAUGA